rnacentral:misc_RNA from 1 species
GUAGGUGAACCUGCGGAAGGAUCAUUACAGUGUUCCCUGCCCUCACGGGUAGAAACGCCCACCCUUUGUGUAAUAUAUCUUGUUGCUUUGGCAGGCCGCCCUCGGGCACCGGCUUCGGCUGGGUUGCGCCUGCCAGAGGACCCCAAACUCUGAAUGUUAGUGUCGUCUGAGUACUAUAUAAUAGUUAAAACUUUCAACAACGGAUCUCUUGGUUCUG